GGAAUUCUCUCACCACAGCAAGCCCUGGAUACCCCAACACACCCGAAAAGCAAGACUCAGAUCUAAAAUUCUAUCUCAUGUAGAUGAUAGAGGACUUUAAGGAGGACAUAAAUAACCCCCUUAAAGAAAUACAGAACACAGGGAAAUAUUGACAUGUGAAGUACAAGUACAGAAUGGCCAUACUGCGUGCUCUAAAGACAGAAGGAGGAGAUGGCAUCUACGACGCAGAGGAGAAGUGGGCAUCCCUCGUAGUCUUCUGAAUGAAGCAUUCGUGCAGUCUUCCAGCUUCUGAAGCUGUGAGACAAUUGAGACUGUUUCUGUGACUCAGUGAUCGUGAGCUAGAAGAGAGGUUGAACCCUUAUUAAAGAUUCUCUCCCGGAGGCCUUGGGAGGAGCAACCAUGAGAGGAGCUAUUGUGUAACACUAUUACCUGUGAGAUCUGAACAAAUGUCUGUUUACUCCAGAGCCAAUACCACACCAAAGUAUGAAUAUCACCAAAGUCCAACUUGGUGAACCAAUUUGUUGCUUUCAGGAAAUUAAUGAGGGUUUGCUUAUAGGAGCAGAAAUAAAUGAAAUAUACAGCUAGCUGUAUAAACAAAAGUCAAGUCCAGCAUGGAUGAUGGCGUUGGAAAACUGGAACCCUUGAACUCACUAUCCUAUAUUCAGGUAGGUCAACAUGAGGAGAGUCUCUUUCCGGCAGCUCCAGUGGUCUGAGCCUUUUCCAGAAAGCUUGGCAGCUAUGCUUACCUGAGACUGUCUCUCAAAAAUUUUUAUUGCUUAUAUAAACUGGAGGAGGAAAGAACCUAGAGAAUCUGGUCAAUUUCUGGGACUUCCUGAAGCUGUUGAGUUGCUUCCUUUCCACAUUUGAAGGAGAUUCUCUGCAAUAUGGAAUAUUUGACCUUUCUUUAGAAUACCUGGUGUCCUAGGAACUUCCCUCCAAGAUGGAAUGUUGUAUCUCAAGAAAUUGCUGGACACCAGGAGCUUUUGGUGAAACUCUACGUUAUGGGGGGUAUUUAUUUGAAAUUAAAAAGUGAUGAUUAUCAAUGUGUACAUUGAAUGACGGAUACAAACUA